rnacentral:rRNA from 1 species
AAUAGAUACCCUGGUAGUCCACGCCGUAAACGUUGGGUACUAGGUGUGGCGUCCCGAUCAACGGAUGCCGUGCCGAAGCUAACGCAUUAAGUACCCCGCCUGGGGAGUACGGCCGCAAGGCUAAAACUCAAAGGAAUUGACGGGUCCCCGCACAAGCGGCGGAGCAUGCGGCUUAAUUCGAUGCAACCCGAAGAACCUUACCUGGACUUGACAUCAUGGGAAAAGCCGUAGAAAUACGGUGUCCGUAAGGGUCCAUGACAGGUGGUGCAUGGCUGUCGUCAGCUCGUGUCGUGAGAUGUUGGGUUAAGUCCCGCAACGAGCGCAACCCUUGUCCUAUGUUGCCCAGCGCGUUAUGGCGGGGACUCAUAGGAGACUGCCGGGGACAACUCGGAGGAAGGUGAGGACGACGUCAAGUCAUCAUGCCCCUUAUGUCCAGGGCUGCACGCAUGCUACAAUGGCCGGUACAACAGGCAGCGAACUCGCGAGGGUGAGCGAAUCCUCGAAAGCCGGCCUCAGUUCGGAUUGGAGUCUGA